rnacentral:rRNA from 1 species
UACGUAGGUGGCAAGCGUUGUCCGGAUUUACUGGGUUUAAAGGGUGCGUAGGCGGGCUUAUAAGUCAGUGGUGAAAUACUUCGGCUUAACCGGAGGGGUGCCAUUGAUACUGUAGGUCUUGAGUUUAGUUGAGGUACACGGAAUUUAUGGUGUAGCGGUGAAAUGCAUAGAUACCAUAAAGAACACCGAUAGCGUAGGCAGUGUACUAAGCUACAACUGACGCUGAGGCACGAAAGCGUGGGGAUCAAACAGG